CCGAGCCCUCACUUCUGUCAGGAGCCAGCUUUCUCCUGCCCAAGGACACCAGACUAGCGACCCUCGGGAGCAGAGCAUUCAUUUGGAGUGCCAGAAAUAACUGCUUCUCAGAAGCCCGGAAGCAGAGAAACAAGAAGACAAGCAAUGGAAGUAGCUAUCUUUAAAUGACAACUGAGUACCGAGGUAACUCUCAAUAACUCAUGAUGCUUCACUCCUGAACCUGCCCCGUCUCUAUCAAUAAGCCUGAAGAACAGCUAAAGAUAUUGUGGUUGAAAUGUGAAAUGCUCCCCCCAUGAGCUCACGCAUCGGAGCCUGGGUUUACAUCUCGUGAUGAUGCUAAUGUGGACUGUUUGGAAACUUUAGGACCCUUGCAGGAAGGAAUAGGUCCCCGAGUGUGUGGUUUUGAAGUCUUUUAGGGAUAGACAGCCUCUUCUACCCACUGUGAUAUUCUUCCUCUAUGUCUAU